UUCUUAGUGGCGAACGGGUGAGUAACGCGUGGGCAACCUGCCCUCUAGAUGGGGACAACAUCCCGAAAGGGGUGCUAAUACCGAAUGUGACAGCAAUCUCGCAUGAGGAUGCUGUGAAAGAUGGCCUCUAUUUAUAAGCUAUCGCUAGAGGAUGGGCUUGCGUCUGAUUAGCUAGUUGGUGGGGUAACGGCCUACCAAGGCGAUGAUCAGUAGCCGGUCUGAGAGGAUGAACGGCCACAUUGGGACUGAGACACGGCCCAGACUCCUACGGGAGGCAGCAGUGGGGAAUCUUCCGCAAUGGGCGAAAGCCUGACGGAGCAAUGCCGCGUGAGUGAUGAAGGAAUUCGUUCCGUAAAGCUCUUUUGUUUAUGACGAAUGUGCAGGUUGUGAAUAAUGACUUGUAAUGACGGUAGUAAACGAAUAAGCCACGGCUAACUACGUGCCAGCAGCCGCGGUAAUACGUAGGUGGCGAGCGUUGUCCGGAAUUAUUGGGCGUAAAGAGCAUGUAGGCGGUUUUUUAAGUCUGGAGUGAAAAUGCGGGGCUCAACCCCGUAUGGCUCUGGAUACUGGAAGACUUGAGUGCAGGAGAGGAAAGGGGAAUUCCCAGUGUAG
rnacentral:rRNA from 1 species